ensembl:misc_RNA Gm24812 predicted gene, 24812
GCCUGUAGUCCCAGCUACUUGGGAGGCUCAGACAGAAGGAUCACUUGAGUCCAGGAGUUCUGGGCUAUAGUGUGCUAUGCUGAUCAGGUGUCCGCACUAAGUUUUGCAUUAAUAUGAUGACCUUCCAGGAGUGGGGAACCACCAGGUUGCAUAAGGAGAGGUGAACCAGCCCAGAUCAGAAAUGGAGCAGGUCAAAACUCCCGUGCUGAUUAGUGACUACAAUCUUAAAGAAUAUUGAGACUCCCUUUGCCAGAAAUUAUCAAUUGCUAAAAGCUCCUUACUUC